rnacentral:rRNA from 1 species
GUGAGGAAUUUUCCGCAAUGGGCGAAAGCCUGACGGAGCAAUGCCGCGUGAAGGAUGAAGGCCUAUGGGUUGUAAACUUCUUUUCUCAGAAAAGAAUUAUGACGGUAUCUGAGGAAUAAGCAUCGGAUAACUCUGUGCCAGCAGCCGCGGUAAGACAGAGGAUGCAAGCGUUAUCCGGAAUGAUUGGGCGUAAAGCGUCUGUAGGUUGUUUAAAAAGUAUUCUGUCAAAGAUUAGGGCUUAACCCUAGAUAGACAGAAUAAACUUUUAAGCUAGAGUUUAGUAGAGGCAGAGGGAAUUCCCGGUGGAGCGGUGAAAUGCGUAGAUAUCAGGAGGAACACCAAAGGCGGAGGCACUCUGCUGGGCCAAUACUAACACUGAGAGACGAAAGCGAGGGGAGCAAAUGGGAUUAGAUACCCUAGUAGUCC